AAAGCACAAUGAGUAGUAUAUAGGGAUUGCACCUUAAUUGAGGAGAUUCCGGUUCGAAUCCGGGCUAUUGUGCUAGCAUCUAGGAAACUAGGUGCUUUUUGUU
rnacentral:sRNA from 21 species